GCCUCGUCGUAUGUUAUAUGUGUCAUACGAGACUGCCGGUAAAAAGACCGGAGGAAGGUGAGGAUGAUGUCAAGUCAGCAUGACCUUUAUAUCCAGGGCUACACACACGCUACAAUGGUCUGUACAAUGGGUAGCCAAGCCGCGAGGCGGAGCCAAUCCUGAAAGCAGGCCUCAGUUCAGAUUGCAGUCUGCAACUCGACUGCAUGAAGCCGGAGUUGCUAGUAACCGCAGGUCAGCAAUACUGCGGUGAAUACGUUCCCGGGUCUU
rnacentral:rRNA from 1 species